GCAAUAAGGGGGGGCAGGUAGGGGUGUGGGGGGGCCCCCCGGGGCAUUUGGCCCCAGGAGAGGGGCUUCAGCCACCCCAUUGCCCCCCCGUUGUCCCCUAUUGCCCUGCAUCCCAUUUCACCUCUAAUAACCCUCCCCUUAUGUCCCCCCCCCUUAUUGCCCCCCCACCCCAAUUACCCCCCAAUUGUCCCCCUGUUGCCCCCCUACCCCAUAACCCCCCCAAUAAUUACCCUAUUGCCCCCCCAUCCCAUUACACACCCCUAUUAUUGUUCCCCAAAAGGGGAAUCGUUACAAAAAAGGGGGAAUUGUUCCCAAGACAGAGGUGUUUUUCCCCAAAACUUGUUAUCAAAAAUGGGGAAUUGUUAAAAAAGGGGAAUUGUUCCCCAAAAAGGGGGAAUUGUUCCUAAAAGUAUGUUGUUGUUACCCAGAAAGGGGGAGUUUUUCUCUGAAACGGGAAUUUUCCCAGAAAAGGGGGAAAUUUCCCCAAACAAGGGAAUAUUUCCCCCAAAUGGGGAGUUGUUUCCCAAAAGGGGGAACUGAUCCCAAAUAAGGGGGAAUCGUAAACAAAAAGUGGGGAGUUGUACCCCAAAAGGGGGUAUUUUUCCUUAUAAGGGGGAAUUGUUCCUCCUAAAUGGGGAGAUUUUCCCCAAAAGACAGGGAAUUGUUCCCAAAAAAGGGGAGUUGCCCUCAAAAAAGGGGGAAUUGUUUCCAAACAAUGGGGUAUUCUUCACAAAAAAAAGGGGAAUUUUCCCCAAAAGAUGGGCAUUGUUACCUAAAAAGGGGAAAUUGUUCCCCAAAAGGGGGAUUUUUUCCCUAAACACAGGCGGGAUUUGUUCCCCUAAAUGGGGGACUCAUUCAGAAAAAAGGGGGAACUGUCCCCAGAAACAGGGAAAUUGUUCCCCAAAGAGGGGGAACUUUUAACAAAAAUGGAGAAUUGUUCCCCCAAAAUGGGACUUGUUCCAAAAAAAAAAAGGGGGAGGUGUUCCCAAAAGAGGGGUAUUUUUCCCCAUAAGGGGGACAUUUUUCCCCAAACAGGAGGAGAGGUUCCCAAAAAGGAGGGAAUUGUUCCCCAAAAAGGGGGACAUUUUUCCCCAAAAAGGAGGAAUUAUUCCCCAAAAUGGGGACUCUUUGUGAAAAAAGGGGGAGAUGUUCCCAAAAAGGGGGAAAUUGUUCCUAAAAUAGGGGGAAUUGCUAUCAAAAAUGGGGAGCUGUUCCUCAAAAAGGGGGAUUCCUUCUGAAAAAAGGGGAAACCAUUCCCAAAAAAGGGGGAACUUUUAACAAAAAUGGAGAAUUGUUCCCCCAAAGUGGGACUUGUUCUGAAAAAAAUGGGGAGUUGUUUCCCAUUUCUGAUAACAAUUCCCCCUUUUCGGGGAACAGUUUCCCCCUUUUUGGGAGCAACUCGUCCUGUUUGGGGAAAAAUGUCCCCCUUUUUGGGGAAAUUUCCCCCUUAUGGGGAAAAAUACCCCUCUUUUGGGAAACAACUCCCCAUUCGGCAGACUGCCGAACUUACAGACUGAGAGGUUCUGGUCCGUGCUUCCAGACCGCCCAAAGACGGAAGCAUCCAAUUCCAAGCCCUCUACUUCUGGCACAGUGACACAGCAGGGGGCAAGUUCUGUGCAUCAGCUGCCAAAGCUCCUACCCAGGCUCGUGACGCCGUUGCCACUAGGUAUUAGAGCCAUCCUGCACAAGGAGCCCAGCAACCCCUCUACUUUUGGGGACAGUGACACAGCAGGGGAGAAGUUCUGAGCAUCAGCUGCCAAAGCUCCUCCCCAGUCUCCCGACGCCGUGCGCUGUACGUGUGAGUGCCAGCCUGCCCAAGCAGCCCAGCAACCCCUCUGUUUCUGGGACACAGAUACACCAGGGGGCCAGCUCUGCGCAACUUCAAGAACCAAAGCUCCUCCCCAGGCUCUCAACGCUGCUGCCCGUAGGUAUUAGAGCCAGCCUGCACGAGGAGCCUAGCGAUGACUCUACCACUGGGACAGAGAUGGACCAGGAGGCCGGCUCUGCUCAACAUCAACCACCGAAGCUCCUAUUCAGGCCCUCGACGCCAUUGCCAAAGGUAGUAGAAUAAGUCCGCCCAAGGAGCAGAAAAUGCCAAAGUUCAAACCUCUGUACGUGGAGCGGGGCCCUUAUCCUAUUACAGCCAGACUGCCCAAGGAGCCCACCAACAACUCUGUGGCUUGGACCCUGACAGACCAAGGGGCCGGUUCUAUCAAUCGCCAAAAGCUCAAACCCAGGCUCCCAACACCGCGACCCCGUCCACGGUGAGCCCAGCUUUGAUUGCCCGGAGCUGCAAGAACGCCGUCAGAGGUGGCAAAACAGGUGCGUGAUCCACAUCCCUGUUCCUUUGGGGGCUCAAGCCUUGGAGGCAAGUAGUUCUGGGGACAGCGGGGCCUCUCCAACGAGAUCUCAGUUUUGAGCCGGGGCUUGGCUCGAUCCAAGCAGAACCUUGGGCUCCUCCAUGGCUAGCCUCAAGUCCCUCCAGUUCCCUUCUGUUGCCACGCAGACACACCAGGCACACACAUGCAGACACACGUUAUUUGGCAGCAUUUAGAAGGCCUAACAAAGCAGGAGGCUGCUCUUGGCCCGAGAGGACAGUGUGUGUUUGCAGCUGGGUGCUGGUUUCCAGGCCGGGUGGGAAGAGAGGGGCUUUGUGGGUGGGCCUGGCAGAGCUGAACCCUGCUGCUGGCCAGGUCUGGGGAUGGGGUGAGCAGAGGGAGGGAAAUGGCGGGACCUGAAGCCAUCCACGGGGUCCGCGUGUGGGCAAAGAGCCCCAAAAACCUGUAGCAGUUUUUGCUCAGAGUCUCACUCCCUUCACAGAAAUCCAUCUGACAGCAGACUACGAGAUACUGGAGGAAAACGCAACGACCUCUUGCCAGAGACGACCAACUCCUCGUCUGUCCACGACGUAGUCUAAACACCAUGAGCAUGAAGAUUUUCCAGCCGUGGCACUGCAAUCAGCCCAAACUUGCGCUGGGACAGGGACCAUCACAGGGAUGAUUCCAGCUGAGGGACCUUCUCCACGGCCAGGAACCUCCCCUUGCUGGGACAAGAGCUGGGAAGCUGCCCUCAGAGCAACGUGGAGAAAACCUGCACAUCCCUGGAGGGGAAAGGAGAGGAUGCGACGGCAGCUGGGGAGAAAAAGAGAGCACCAUUUCCAUCCUGCUGGGCUGCGCUUUCACAACGGAACCUGCCAAUUAAAAUGAUUUUUCAAAGUG